UACGAAGGGGGCUAGCGUUGCUCGGAAUCACUGGGCGUAAAGGGCGCGUAGGCGGACAGUUUAGUCAGAGGUGAAAGCCCAGGGCUCAACCUUGGAAUUGCCUUUGAUACUGGCUGUCUUGAGUACGGGAGAGGUGAGUGGAACUCCGAGUGUAGAGGUGAAAUUCGUAGAUAUUCGGAAGAACACCAGUGGCGAAGGCGACUCACUGGCCCGUUACUGACGCUGAGGCGCGAAAGCGUGGGGAGCAAACAGG
rnacentral:rRNA from 1 species